UAUGCAGAUUUCUAUGAGUGACGUGAGUGACAUAGGCAAAAAGCAAUUUAUUAGCCUCUUCACAAUAUGUUCCCAAGCCACAGAAGAUGACUGUAUCCGGUACUUAGUUUUGCUGAACCAGCAUCUAAUGGAAUUGAGGCAUCAUGUAAUUCGAAUAAUUUCACCUACAGGCAACCUAGUCGAGUGUUUGCAACACAUCAAUCAGUUGCACAUCUGAUUGCGGACAUUUUUUUUUUCUACUACUUUUUGUCGCUACUGUUCAAGGUGCAGUUGUCCACUUGGUAAACUGAUGUCUCUGUUUAAAACCCAUCAGCAGCGUGCCUCCACAUGGAUCAAAAUACAGUAAUGAAAAUGAAUACUGUAUUCCCAUUAAACAGAAGUCAAAACGUGCUUUGCUUUAUCACCUGCUCCAGUGGGAGACGGACCAAAACAAGGCAUCGGUUGUGGAUAGGCUGGAGAGCAUAUAAUGUUGUAUGAAGGUAGAGAAAAGAUCAUCCAAGAUCUCUUGUUUCUUCUGUUGACGCUCACUUGAAAUAAAGCAAGAACGUUAUCCUCCAUAAAGAAAGUGAGAUGCUAUUAGUUUCCUUCUGAGAGCAGUAAAACUCAGAGGUGCAUGAUGCUGACAUUUGCACAUGUGAUUUAUACCCUUGUGUGACUAUAAUGACUGAUGAGCUGUCCGGCUCGGCACGCACUAUAUUUUUCCUUUCUUUUCUCGUCAUUCUUUUUUUGAACCUAUAUAAAGACUUGCACAUUGCAAAUAGGGCCUGUGAUAAAGUUGGUUUUGAGACGUAUACUUACAGUGCACCUCCCGUCUGUGUGUAGUGCUUCCUCCCUUGUGGAGGGCUAGACGAUGUUAAUUGGGCCCCAGCGUGUUGACUUUUGUAUUUAAUAGCAAGCAGAAAAAACGGGGAAUAUAAAUCGUCACGUGCACUUUAUGUGCACCUGCACAUGAUGAGUGUCCCGGGAAUGUUUACCUUUUCUGUGAAUGGAACGCACCCGUGCCUCACUGGACAUCCUGUCCUGCAGGCAGGUGUAUGCAUGUGUCCGUGUUUAGGGGAGUGGUGAGUGGAGGUCAAAGCAAACUAAAGUCGCUCCCGACUGUUCUUUGUAAAUUUAUGGUGGAGCCUCCAAAGUCAAACACAGUUGACUUCCAAACGCAUUUGUAACACGAAUUCACUUGAUUCAGGCUCUGACAGUCACCAUCACCAAUUAUUUCGUAAAACGUUCACGUUGUUUAGUAAGAUUGUCCUACAAGUGUCAUGGAAUGUUGACAACUGUCUUUAAAACAAAGUGAGUAGCGCUAAAACAAAGUAAAAACGACUUAGAAUUUGGUUUAUGGAGAGGGAGAAAGGAGGUGUUUGAGUGUUGAGUCACCGUGUCCAUUUUCACUGACAAAAAAAUUAUUUGCUUCCAUUGAUUUAUUUAAAUCACAUGACUUCACGCAUUGACUUUUCUUAUCCUUUCACAACAUUUUGAAUGAACACCACGUUGGACCACUUUUGGAGACUGUCCCACUGUACUUCGCUCACAUCUCGCUGGUUAUGCAGGAUACGCUCUCCUUCGAGCCCAAUCUGCCCAGAGCUCGAUGGGAUACAGAUGGAAAGUUUGCGAGCAAAGCGGCCAGCAUCAGGAAGAACACGGCCAAGGACAUUUGCAAAGACUUUGACACUAAUUCUUACAGCUGCUGUGAGACCUAACAGCCUAACAUCUUGGGCCACAGACCAGGAAAUCAAUGUCACAAUCAAUAGAUGGUUACAUCUGGCUCUUGAUAGGGAUGGUAACAGGAAGGAGAGGAUGAGAAGAAAAGAGGGCAUGGAGAGCACGACAAUUUGAUGGACGGAAAAAUGCCGUUCAAGAGCAAGCUGCAUCCCAGUUUGGACUCCGUGUUCACUG